GGAGGAGGAGGAGGAGGAGGACUGGAGCGACUGAAAAGUCAACAAGAAAGUAUCUAUUUGAGAACUGCGAAAACAUAUUAAAACCCUGUCAACUCUGCGUUACUGGCUUCCAGCGAGAAUCUGUGAGACUCAGGCGCGCCUUCGCUGAUGAGAUCCCUGCCUGUAUAAGCCAGCGCGCCCUGCGUUCCAGUGCCAGAACGUAGCUACUUGUACCAGUACACAGCCCUUCGUCAUCCCCUGGUUUCGAACUGUGUGUCUCGUCUCCCCGGGUCCCCUCUGGACUUCCUGCUGCCUUCUCGGAUCUCGACCUCACGCCUGACACCCCGGACAACGACGCCUCGCUCCAGCCCCUGACCACCUGCCUGUCCCCGGACUUCUGAGCCUGCCUAGCCCUUUCUGGACUUCCGCAACCUGGUGUCGAUCAUUGGUACUUUAACUUAACUAUAUACAUUUGGAUUAGUCACACACUUCAUUUAUAUAUAUGAAU